UACGAAGGGGGCUAGCGUUGCUCGGAAUCACUGGGCGUAAAGGGCGCGUAGGUGGCGCCGCAAGUCCAUGGUGAAAACUCGAUGCUCAACAUCGAGUCGGCCACGGAGACUGCGGGGCUCGAGCACUGUAGGGGCAGAUGGAAUUCCGGGUGUAGCGGUGGAAAUGCGUAGAGAUCCGGAAGAACACCGGUGGCGAAGGCGGUCUGCUGGGCAGUUGCUGACACUGAGGCGCGACAGCGUGGGAGCAAC
rnacentral:rRNA from 1 species